rnacentral:tRNA from 1 species
AUCGGCCUGUGCUAGAUAUCCUGUAAAACGAAAUGGAUAUUGAAUUUAAAAUCUAAAUUUAUCAUUGAUUUUAU